CUACGGGGUGCAGCAGUGAGGAAUAUUGGACAAUGGGGGAAACCCUGAUCCAGCAAUGCCGCGUGAAUGAAGAAGGCCUUAGGGUUGUAAAGUUCUUUCACUCGUGAAGAUUAUGACGGUAACGAGAGAAGAAGCCCCGGCUAACUCUGUGCCAGCAGCCGCGGUAAGACAGAGGGGGCUAGCGUUGUUCGGAAUAACUGGGCGUAAAGGGUGCGUAGGCGGUUGUUUAAGUAAAGUGUAAAAGCCCUGGGCUUAACCCAGGAAUCGCAUUUUAAACUGGACAGCUAGAGUGUGGUAGAGGAAAGUGGAAUUCCUAGUGUAGAGGUGAAAUUCGUAGAUAUUAGGAGGAACACCAGAGGCGAAGGCGGCUUUCUGGACCAUUACUGACGCUGAGGCACGAAAGCGUGGGGAGCAAACAGGAUUAGAUACCCCAGUAGUC
rnacentral:rRNA from 1 species